rnacentral:rRNA from 1 species
UACAGAGGUCUCAAGCGUUGUUUCGGAUUCAUUGGGCGUAAAGGGUGUGUAGGUGGCGCCGUAAGUCGGGUGUGAAAUUUCGGAGCUUAACUCCGAAAACUGCAUUCGAUACUGCGGUGCUUUGAGGACUGGAGAGGAGACUGGAAUUCAUGGUGUAGCAGUGAAAUGCGUAGAGAUCAUGAGGAAGACCAGUGGCGAAGGCGGGGUCUCUGGACAGUUCCUGACGCUGAGGCACGAAGGCCAGGGGAGCAAAACGGGG